AUGUACACAUUUUUGAGUGCCUA
rnacentral:rRNA from 1 species